rnacentral:rRNA from 1 species
AGCGAGAAACCUUACCAGGGCUUAAAUGUAGAUUGCAUUAGCUAGAGAUAGCUAUUUCUUCGGACUAUCUACAAGGUGUUGCAUGGCUGUCG